rnacentral:rRNA from 1 species
UUUUUAUGAGAGUUUGAUCCUGGCUCAGGACGAACGCUGGCGGCGUGCCUAAUACAUGCAAGUCGAACGCUUCUUUUUCCACCGGAGCUUGCUCCACCGGAAAAAGAAGAGUGGCGAACG